GAUGAACGCUAGCGGCAGGCCUUACACAUGCAAGUCGAACGGCAGCACGGGAGCAAUCCUGGUGGCGAGUGGCGAACGGGUGAGUAAUAUAUCGGAACGUGCCCAGUCGUGGGGAUAACGUAGCGAAAGCUACGCUAAUACCGCAUACGAUCUAUGGAUGAAAGCGGGGGAUCGCAAGACCUCGCGCGAUUGGAGCGGCCGAUAUCAGAUUAGGUAGUUGGUGAGGUAAAGGCUCACCAAGCCGACGAUCUGUAGCUGGUCUGAGAGGACGACCAGCCACACUGGGACUGAGACACGGCCCAGACUCCUACGGGAGGCAGCAGUGGGGAAUUUUGGACAAUGGGCGCAAGCCCUGAUCCAGCAAAUGCCGCGUGCAGGAUGAAGGCC
rnacentral:rRNA from 1 species